rnacentral:piRNA from 1 species
UCAUCCCUGACAGGGUCCUUCGUCAC